rnacentral:misc_RNA from 1 species
GUAACAAGGUUUCCGUAGGUGAACCUGCGGAAGGAUCAUUAAAUAAUCAAUAAUCUUGGCUUGUCCAUUAUUAUCUAUUUACUGUGAACUGUAUUAUUAUUUGACGUUUGAGGGAUGUUCCAAUGUUAUAAGGAUAGACAUUGGAGAUGUUAACCGAGUCAUAAUCAGGUUUAGGCCUGGUAUCCUAUUAUUAUUUACCAAAUGAAUUCAGAAUUAAUAUUGUAACAUAGACCUAAAAAAUCUAUAAAACAACUUUUAACAACGGAUCUCUUGGUUCUCGCAUCGAUGAAGAACGUAGCAAAGUGCGAUAACUAGUGUGAAUUGCAUAUUCAGUGAAUCAUCGAGUCUUUGAACGCAACUUGCGCUCAUUGGUAUUCCAAUGAGCACGCCUGUUUCAGUAUCAAAACAAACCCUCUAUYCAACUUUUGUUGUAUAGGAUUAUUGGGGGCCUCUCGAUCUGUAWAGAUCUUGAAACCCUUGAAAUUUACUAAGGCCUGAACUUGUUUAAUGCCUGAACUUUUUUUUAAUAUAAAGGAAAGCUCUUGUAAUUGACUUUGAUGGGGCCUCCCAAAUAAAUCUCUUUUAAAUUUGAUCUGAAAUCAGGUGGGAUUACCCGCUGAACCUAAGCAUAUC